AACGAACGCUGGCUGCAUGCCUAACACAUGCAAGUCGAACGAGACCUUCGGUUCUAGUGGCGCACGGGUGCGUAACGCGUGGGAACCUGCCCUUAGGUUCGUAAUAACUCCCCGAAAUGGUUGCUAAUACCGGAUCAUGUCUUCGGACCAAAGAUUUAUCGCCUUUGGAUGGGCCCGCGUUGGAUUAGCUAGUUGGUAGGGUAAAAGCCUACCAAGGCGCAGAUCCAUAGCUGGUCUGAGAGGAGGAUCAGCCACACUGGGACUGAGACACGGACCAGACUCCUACGGGAGGAAGAAGAGGGGAAUAUUGGACAAUGGGCGAAAGACUGAGACAGCAAUGCCGCGUGAGUGAUGAAGGCCUUAGGGUGGUAAAGCUCUUUUACCCGGGAUGAUAAUGACAGUACCGGGAGAAUAAGCACCGGCUAACUCCGUG
rnacentral:rRNA from 1 species